rnacentral:rRNA from 1 species
CCUACGGGCGGCAGCAGUGGGGAAUAUUGGACAAUGGGCGAAAGCCUGAUCCAGCCAUGCCGCGUGUGUGAAGAAGGCCUUCGGGUUGUAAAGCACUUUCAGUGGGGAAGAAAGCCUUGGGGCUAAUACCCUCGAGGAAGGACAUCACCCACAGAAGAAGCACCGGCUAACUCCGUGCCAGCAGCCGCGGUAAUACGGAGGGUGCGAGCGUUAAUCGGAAUUACUGGGCGUAAAGCGCGCGUAGGCGGUCUGAUAAGCCGGUUGUGAAAGCCCCGGGCUCAACCUGGGAACGGCAUCCGGAACUGUCAGGCUAGAGUGCAGGAGAGGAAGGUAGAAUUCCCGGUGUAGCGGUGAAAUGCGUAGAGAUCGGGAGGAAUACCAGUGGCGAAGGCGGCCUUCUGGACUGACACUGACGCUGAGGUGCGAAAGCGUGGGUAGCAAACAGGAUUAGAACCCUGGUAGUC